AGUGAACGCUGGCGGUAGGCCUAACACAUGCAAGUCGAACGGCAGCACAGUAAGAGCUUGCUCUUACGGGUGGCGAGUGGCGGACGGGUGAGGAAUACAUCGGAAUCUACUUUUUCGUGGGGGAUAACGUAGGGAAACUUACGCUAAUACCGCAUACGACCUACGGGUGAAAGCAGGGGAUCUUCGGACCUUGCGCGAUUGAAUGAGCCGAUGUCGGAUUAGCUAGUUGGCGGGGUAAAGGCCCACCAAGGCGACGAUCCGUAGCUGGUCUGAGAGGAUGAUCAGCCACCCUGGAACUGAGACACGGUCCAGAGUCCUACGGGAGGCAGCAGUGGGGAAUAUUGGACAAUGGGCGCAAGCCUGAUCCAGCCAUACCGCGUGGGUGAAGAAGGCCUUCGGGUUGUAAAGCCCUUUUGUUGGGAAAGAAAAGCAGCAGGUUAAUACCCCGCUGUUCUGACGGUACCCAAAGAAUAAGCACCGGCUAACUUCGUG
rnacentral:rRNA from 1 species